GAUGAACGCUGGCGGCGUGCCUAAUACAUGCAAGUCGAGCGAACGGACGAGAAGCUUGCUUUUCUGAUGUUAGCGGCGGACGGGUGAGUAACACGUGGAUAACCUACCUAUAAGACUGGGAUAACUUCGGGAAACCGGAGCUAAUACCGGAUAAUAUUUUGAACCGCAUGGUUCAAAAGUGAGAGACGGUCUUGCUGUCACUUAUAGAUGGAUCCGCGCUGCAUUAGCUAGUUGGUAAGGUAACGGCUUACCAAGGCAACGAUGCAUAGCCGACCUGAGAGGGUGAUCGGCCACACUGGAACUGAGACACGGUCCAGACUCCUACGGGAGGCAGCAGUAGGGAAUCUUCCGCAAUGGGCGAAAGCCUGACGGAGCAACGCCGCGUGAGUGAUGAAGGUCUUCGGAUCGUAAAACUCUGCUAUUAGGGAAGAACAUAUGUGUAAGUAACUGUGCACAUCUUGACGGUACCUAAUCAGAAAGCCACGGCUAACUACGUG
rnacentral:rRNA from 1 species